GUAGGUGAACCUGCGGAAGGAUCAUUACCGAGCUCGCGCCCCCCGGGGCCGACCUCCCACCCUUUGUCUACCGUACACGUGUUGCUUUGGCGGGCCGCCCUCGUGGCCACCGGCCCUCCGCUGGUGAGCGCCCGCCGGAGACCCAAACCCAGUCUGCUGUCCAUGGCAUUGUCUGACCAAACCUGAAAUCGUUAAAACUUUCAACAACGGAUCUCUUGGCUCUAGCAUCGAUGAAGAACGCAGCAUCUGA
rnacentral:misc_RNA from 1 species